AUUUGCUGAGUUGAAUUAGAAUAAUUCGUUUUUUAUUCCCUUUUCAGUUUCAGCCCUUUUAAAAAAAUUUAACCCAUAAUCCGGAAACAAAAGCAAACCGGUUUUCCUCUUGACAAUUCACCCACUUCAUUUCCCAUCAAAUCAUUGUCAUUUCCCCCCAAAUAUGUAACGCGAGAGGAAGAUCUGUAGUUCUUCAUUUCACCCAAAAUCGCAAGCAAGAGGAAAACCGCCCGUUUCUUCAUCGCCGACAUCUGGAUCACUGCCCAGCGCGCACCAUUGGAUGUAGCCCACCGAAACCGAACGUGGAAAUAGUAUUUGAAGACGGCAGUGGAAUCGUAGAUGAUGGACAAAGACAUUGAGUAAAAGGCAGGAUUGAAGUCAUGAAAGAAUUGGUUCGUGCGAAACCUGAUGCAGCUUGAGUGAUCGUGGGUCAAGGACAGACCAUUGUGCAUUUGUGUGUGAAGUACUAUCAGAUUCGGGCCUUCAAGAUCUUAGUGUAAAAACUCCUAAAACUGUUGUUACAUGCUAAUUGAUUUCGAACACUUUUCGCGGUCGGAGUUUGUCUUGUUGGAACUAAAAUCGAGUUUUGUUCACGUGACUUGGCCCUGGGAAAUGUUUAUAUAAAUUUUGAUUUGGACUUCUGAUUUUAAUGCAAAACAGGUACCAACAUUGUUUUUUU